GGGGAUGUAGCUCAGUGGUAGAGCGUCCGCUUCGCAUGCGGAAGGCCCGGGGUUCGAUCCCCCGCAUCUCCA
rfam:Nematostella vectensis strain CH2 x CH6 NEMVEscaffold_161_Cont16368, whole genome shotgun sequence.